rnacentral:lncRNA from 1 species
ACUCUUUGGCAGUUGCGCUGGGUACUGGCUGAGUUCUGGAAAACAGGAAUGUGAGCAGAGUGCUGCAGAUCUCCUUGUCAGGAGCACCUAAGAACUGGCAUGACUCUACACCCUCUCUCCUUCUGCAAUGGUCUCGUGUCAAGAUGGCAGACCUGCAGAGAUGAAUGUGCCUGGAUACCUGAGUCACCAGGUGGAGGAAACUCCCAUUGACCUGCAUCACACUCCACGUAUGAAACCCUUCUUUUUCUGCACUGUCACUGAGGUUAGGGAUUAUUACUCACUGCAACUUAGCCUAGCAUUAAUUUGCUUGACUAAUACAAGUUUCAAUAAAUGUUGCUCCAUUUCCCAUG